UGGACCAGGGAGCUACUCCAUGGCUCCUACCAUCGCGCCGGCUGGCCGCAUGCGUGUGUAUUGCAGACUUUUUGUUGUUGCCUUUUCGGAUGUGCAUGCACGAGGAACUUCCUUCUUUGGAACUGCUUCUUGCAUGAGCUGUUUCGGAUAUUUCGUCUCCUGGCCUGGCUUAUUUCGUUUCGGCGCUGCUGCGACCUCCUUUCGCGGAAUAUUACUCAAUGACAGUGUGCGAAGAACGCGAGUUCACCUUCUUGACGAAAAUCGUGGACUAACAGUUUAAAGUCAUUGAACUACUUCCAAAAGUUGUGUCGACAUCAACAGGAUUACCAUUUCAGUGCAAUAUGAUGCAGGAUGACCUUAGCACGAU